rnacentral:rRNA from 1 species
AGAGUUUGAUCCUGGCUCAGGACGAACGCUGGCGGCGUGCUUAACACAUGCAAGUCGAACGGAAAGGCCCUGCUUGCAGGGUACUCGAGUGGCGAACGGGUGAGUAACACGUGGGUGAUCUGCCCUGCACUUCGGGAUAAGCCUGGGAAACUGGGUCUAAUACCGGAUAGGAGCCAUUUUUAGUGUGAUGGUUGGAAAGUUUUUUCGGUGUAGGAUGAGCUCGCGGCCUAUCAGCUUGUUGGUGGGGUAAUGGCCUACCAAGGCGGCGACGGGUAGCCGGUCUGAGAGGGUGGACGGCCACAUUGGGGCUGAGAUACGGCCCAGACUCCUACGGGAGGCAGC